CCUACGGGGGGCUGCAGUAGGGAAUUUUGCGCAAUGGACGAAAGUCUGACGCAGCAACACCGUGUGAGGGAUGAAGCAUUUCGGUGUGUAAACCUCUGUCGAUGAUGAAUAAAGCAUGUGGGAGUGGAAAGCCCAUGUGUUGAAGGUAAUCAUGAAGGAAGCACCGGCUAACUCUGUGCCAGCAGCCGCGGUAAUACAGGGGGUGCAAGCGUUGUUCGGAAUCACUGGGCGUAAAGGGAGCGUAGGCGGAACUACAAGACAGAGGUCAAAUCUCC
rnacentral:rRNA from 1 species